AGACGUUCCAAGGGGUGUCCCGAACGCUGUUGCGGGGCUGAGAGCUUACCCUUAAGGACCGGAUCCGGAUCAUGCCGGCGUCGGGAUGGAGCAAGAACGGGGG
rnacentral:ncRNA from 2 species